UCUAUCUUUUCAUUCUCUAUCACCAACCACCACCACCCCACUGGAACCCACAUCACUAGAACCCAACCACCACCGCUACCAUAACCAUCACUUCCGGCACCACCUCAUCGAAGUUGCAUAUCAGAGGUUUCCGGCGAGGCGGCGAAGCUCGGUCUAAAGUCAAUCGUGAUGUCGUACGUCAGAUCUGAUAUUUCCGGUGACAGCUUAUGGUCAUCUGAAGCGGAGAUGUGGAGGAUGAGACGGUGAUAAGCGGUGAGCAUAAGGUGAGUUUAAGGAACUUUUAGCUCGGUUUCUUCUUCUUUUUCUUCUGAUCCAUACAUUUUCAUUCUCCCAGUCGUCUAUUCAACCCCAUUUUCCGGUGAUGGUGGUGGUUGGAACUGAUAAAGGUCAAGAACACCCACAUUGGAGGUGGUGGUUUCUUGAUUUUCCGGUCGAAGCCAUUACUCUUCCUCAAAAUAAUGGCGUUGAAUUAGAAAAAAAAUCAUUACCCUUUAUCUCGCCUUCGUCGCACUCCUCGACCUCAAAAUAACCGUCACUGGGGUUUUUUCUCUUCCCAUUACCAAACCGAUCAUCUCCGACUCCGUUCGGUUUAGUCAACGAAGCCAUUACUCUUCCUCUGGUUUUCUCGAAAAUGUUUCAGAAAUAGGGAGAUACAGAGAAGUUAUGAGGGUUUUGCUUUGAUACCAGCGCUCAAGUUCAAAAGGUUCAUGGUUGUACUUUUGGUUACAAAAGUUGCACCCUUUGGUGGAGUAAUUACUUCACUUUAUAUUUAAAUAUAAAUUACCAAAGUACCUUAUUUUAUACUUGAAAUUAUCAUAAUACCCUUUCAGUUAACAUACAAUAUGGAUGGAGUUAAGAUCGCGGAGCAAAUUAGUGACCCGAGGAAAAUGGGGUUCUUUUGUUGAAUGGUCAACCCUUCUCGGUUCACGAUUUCGAAUCAUCUUGACAAGUAUAGAAAAUACUGUGAGGAUAUUGCGACUUUAGGAAAUGGACCGACUACUGUUUUCUCAACCAAUUGCCAUCCUUUAAUAGAAUCGCAUGGUGUAAACAAAACGAUGAUUAUGCCACAUUUAAUGUUGCAAUGUUGCUUCCCGUUUUUUGUACAUUGAAAACUUAACCUCUUGUAUCCUUCCUGAAAGUUCAAGCUCUCUCAUCCCUUAUCCCUUAUCGAUGCUCAAAAUCUUGUAUCGGAGUGGUGGAGAUAACUUUAGACAAUGAUCUAUAUUCGGAUGGGUUAUUUUCGUUGGAGACUGAUUUGGGAACUGUGUUUACUCGACCAGAUGAACAAGAUGUUAAUGUGCUUGAUGUGAAGGAUCUUAAACUCUACAAGAAUAUAGUGGUUACCGGAGUUGUUAAACAAAUUGAAGAUGCAAUACAACAAGUUUGCAUAUCGUGUAAUCUGAGUUGGGCACAAGUUCGGAUCUCUACAAAUGAGAUUCAAACAGGGCAAAUAAUGGCACUAAAAAUUGUCGGGCAUAUAAACGGUACACCGGGAGAGAACUUUGCUUCAUACUCCGCGUUGUGUAACCUAUUUCCUCUUACGAGUGAUGAGCCUGUUUUGAAAACAUUUCUAGACCAUGAAUUCUGAUACAUUCCGAUGCCUCGUCCUGAAGUUUUAGAAGUUGUGGGUGUUAACUUCACUUUGGAAAAUGCUAUUACAAUUUUCUCAACCAAUGAAGUCUUUGAUUACGUGUUUGAAUUUGUGGGUAUAAAGGAUCCAAACAAGCAUUCUUUGCACACAAUAAUCCUUAUGUUACAAAGUUCUUUUCCA